CCUACGGGAGGCAGCAGUAGGGAAUCUUUCACAAUGGGCGAAAGCCUGAUGGAGCAACGCCGCGUGCAGGAUGAAGGCCUUCGGGUUGUAAACUGCUUUUAUAAGCGAGAAAUAUGAUGGUAACUUAUGAAUAAGGAUCGGCUAACUACGUGCCAGCAGCCGCGGUCAUACGUAGGAUCCGAGCAUUAUCCGGAGUGACUGGGUGUAAAGAGUUGCGUAGGUGGCAUAAUAAGUAGCUAGGGAAAUCUGGUGGCUCAACCAUUCAGACUAUUAGCUAAACUGUGAAGCUCGAGACCGUUAGUGGUAAGUGGAAUUUCUAGUGUAGGAGUGAAAUCCGUAGAUAUUAGAAGGAACACCAAUAGCGUAGGCAGGUUGCUGGGACGGUUCUGACACUAAGGCACGAAAGCGUAGGGAGCAAACGGGAUUAGAUACCCCAGUAGUC
rnacentral:rRNA from 1 species